rnacentral:rRNA from 1 species
CGCACGGGUGAGUAACACGUAUCCAACCUGCCGUCUACUCUUGGACAGCCUUCUGAAAGGAAGAUUAAUACAAGAUGGCAUCAUGAGUCCACAUGUUCACAUGAUUAAAGGUAUUCCGGUAGACGAUGGGGAUGCGUUCCAUUAGAUAGUAGGCGGGGUAACGGCCCACCUAGUCUUUGAUGGAUAGGGGUUCUGAGAGGAAGGUCCCCCACAUUGGAACUGAGACACGGUCCAA